GACGAACGCUGGCGGCGUGCCUAAUACAUGCAAGUUGAGCGAUGAAGAUUGGUGCUUGCACCAAUUUGAAGAGCAGCGAACGGGUGAGUAACGCGUGGGGAAUCUGCCUUUGAGCGGGGGACAACAUUUGGAAACGAAUGCUAAUACCGCAUAACAACUUUAAACAUAAGUUUUAAGUUUGAAAGAUGCAAUUGCAUCACUCAAAGAUGAUCCCGCGUUGUACUAGCUAGUUGGUGAGGUAAAGGCUCACCAAGGCGAUGAUACAUAGCCGACCUGAGAGGGUGAUCGGCCACAUUGGGACUGAGACACGGCCCAAACUCCUACGGGAGGCAGCAGUAGGGAAUCUUCGGCAAUGGACGAAAGUCUGACCGAGCAACGCCGCGGGAGUGAAGAAGGUUGUCGGAUCGUAAAACUCUGUUGGUAGAGAAGAACGUUGGUGAGAGUGGAAAGCUCAUCAAGUGACGGUAACUACCCAGAAAGGGACGGCUAACUACGUG
rnacentral:rRNA from 1 species